GUUUUUCAGCAAUUUGAGCUACAGUAGCUCUUCUGUGUGAUCAGACUAGACAAGAUCGGUAGAUCCACAUGCAUCAAGGUUCCUUGGGCACCCAUGACCCUUACAACAGUGUGCCGGUUGCUGUUUUGGAAAUGCUCUGACACCGUUGUCUAGCCCUCUUUAGAGUCACUCUGAUCUUCUCGCUUGCCCAUUUUUCCAGCUUCCAACACAAGAAAUUUAAGAGCUGCAUGUUCAUUUGCUGCCUAAUAUAUCCCACCUGUUGACAGAUGCCAUUGUAACGACAUAAUCAAUGUUAUUUACAUCAUCUGUCAGUGGUUUUAAUGUUGUGACUGAUCCGUAUAUAUUUUUGUUAGUAUGGGCGUCUCUAAGAAUGUAAG